CACGACCCCAAGAUCAAUAGUUGCAUGCUUCACUGACUGAGACAGCCAGGCACCCCAUGAAAUGCCUUUUUUAGUGUGGGUCAAGUCAAAAGGUUGAAGAAUGCUGCUCUAAGAAUUUAUAAUUUACCCCUGGAAUAAGCCAGAUUAGUAAGAAGCUGUUACUGGAACAUAUCACAUUGAACCAAUGCUUGAACAUUUCCAUAAUAACAAGUUAAACACAAUACAUACCUUUCCUCUCAUUUCUUACCUCUCUGAGAUACAUGUGACCUUAAUGAAUUCCUCUGCUCAGGUAACAAGACUUAGCAUUCAUUCACUUACUCAUUCAAUCAACAAACGUUUUUGAGAUUGUUCAAGCCACUGAGAAUAUAAUGGUAGGAAAAAACUUGACAAAAAUCCCUGUCUUAGUGGAACUUACAUUCAAGAGUAGAGGGAGGAGCACAGACAAAAAAACAAGGUAUAAAUAGAAAAUGUUAAAUGACUAAAAGUGCUAAAGCAAAAGAAUAAACAGAAAAGGGUAACAGAGAAUGUUUGGGGAUGUAUUCAUUUUCUAUUUUUCUGCAUAACAACUUACUAUAAACUUAGCAGGUUAUAACAACAUAUACACUACUGUGCAUAGUUUCUGUGAGUCCAGGACUCUGGGCUUAACUGGGUCCUCUGCUCAUGGCCCCCAAGGCUGCAGUCAAGGUGCAGCUGGGCUGAAUUCUCAUGUGGAGAAUUAACUGGAGAAUAAUCCUCUUCUAGGCUCACUCAGGCUGUUGGCAGAAUUUAGUUCCUUAUGCUUGUAUGACGGAGAGCCACGGCUUUUUAAUGGCUGUCCACUGGAAGCUGCCUUGGAUCCUCAAAUCCUCCCAGUUCCAGAGAACUUCUCGCAGUAUGGCAGCUUACUUCUUCAAGCUGGAGGGCUGCAUCUUCCAAUUGUCUCUUUGAUUUUACACCCCGAGGUCAUGUACCCGAGUGAAAUGCAGGAUCGAUGAAACUGAAAGGCUAUUCCACGGUGGAGUUGGACCUGACAAAAUGACAGCUUUAGAGGAGGGACAUGCUUGUCCAUUGGCCCAGUCCCCAACCUGGCUGUCUUCAUUUUUUCAUAUUUCCUGCCUGACCUUGGAGCCAUUUGAUUCACGGUUAUGGAUUACAGCCGCAUAAAGCAAUUACUGCACAAGUAGUAGCUGUGAACUGUGCAAAUGAGAGUUUAUGCAAGCGUAAUCUCAACUUUUUUAUCCUUUUGUAACACAUGGAAAAUAAAGGUCAGAGGAUACAGUACCGGGACGUGCAGCUACACUACAGAAGCAUUGUCCAAAACCAGAUUCAAUAAAUUAAUGGCAAACUAUACUGGAUUUCUAGUCCAGGGGAGAAAGACUAAUGGAUUAAACCAAAAGUAUUAUAAACUGC